rnacentral:lncRNA from 1 species
CCACAUGUCUGGUGACAUUCGCGAACGACGCUGCUUCGACCCAUUUGGUGAAAUAGUCAAUGGCAACAAGGAUGAAGCGAUGCCCAUUGGAAGCAGUCGGCUCAAUCUUUCCAAUCAUGUCAAUGCCCCACAUUGCAAACGGCCACGGCGAAGACAUCACAUUCAGAGGAUUCGGCGGUACAUGCACCUUAUCAGCAUAAAUCUGGCAUUUAUGACACUUCCGAGCAUACUUGAAACAAU